AGGGUUUUACUAGUACUCUUCAUCCGCUUGCCGGUCGCCGCCGGCUCGUCGACGGUUGCGGAGCGUUCUGCGGCGGAGCUUGGCGGGGCGAUUUGGGGGCGAGGUUUUGCGGGUUCUUCGACGGUUGCGGGCGUUGAGCGGCGGAGCUGUGGCCACAUGGAGAAAAGUCGGGGCAAGGUCAACAUUACCCCAGAUCUGAACAAAGGAAAAGAAACGGUGAUUCCAUUGCAUAUCACCCGAUUAGAUAUGAGGGAGGUGGAUCAAUCCAGUUAUGUGGCUAGACUAAAGCUCAAGAAGCCUUCUAAUAUGCCACCUUCCACUUUACCUCUGCACUUGCCAGUGAUAGGUUUGGAUGUGAAUAAACCAGAUAACCUACACUGUCUGAUGAUUAUGCAAAAUGUUAAGCACAGGAACGUUUUGCAAAUGGAGGCAGUGAAACAAAUAGUAAUUGGAGAGGCAAAAACACCAGUACUAGCUAUGUUUGUUGAAUCUUUUACUGGGCGUUUGCCAGCACUGCUUCGAAAAAUGAAACUGGGCGGCAUGCAAAUCAUUGAGGGGUGGGAGGAGCUUCGAGUAAAUGGGCUUUAUCAUGGAAAUAUCUGCUUGGAAAAUGUAUAUUAUUGCAAAGAUAAUGAAAAGAUCACCAUCAAACUUGCAAACUUCCAAAGCAAAGGUGCAAUGAGUAAAGAGGCAGCACAAUUGGAAGAUAUCAAUGCAAUUGGUAGGAUGCUUAAGUCUAUUUCCGCUCUGGCAAAGAUAGGCGUACCCCAUCAAGCAGAACGAUACAUGUUAGUUGAUCACCUGGCAAUGAAUUUGGAGUUUCUUGCAAACACCCAGCAAAUAGGAACAAUCAAAGACGUGAUUCUAGAUCAUGUUUUUUUCUGGUUUAAAGAAAGGAGGAAGAGAUUCUUCAUCUAUGAUAUCCCAAAGGCCUUAAAAGAUGCUGCAUUCUGUAACAAUGUCCGCAGAGGACAAACAUGUGUUCUGGAAUGGGACAAAAAGCCACAUCACGGACUUCUAGGCUCAAUGAACAGGUAUAGGAAAACAAAUUUGAAUUUGCCUGCUUAUGAUGGAAAUGACCCAAUUCAGAAUGUGAAAUUUGUGAGUGGAGCAUACACGCAUGAAGAGGAGGUGCAGGAUGAUCUUACAUUUAAUGGGAUGUCCUCAACUGUUGAUGAAGCUGUUCAAUCUGAGCAACCAAUGUUAUGCCUCAACCUAUACAAAUGCCUGUCACCCGAGAUUGAAGGAACUCAGGUGCCGCUCAGGAACCUCGAGCUGGUGUUGGUUAACAAGUCCUGUGUUUAG
rnacentral:lncRNA from 1 species